GCGGGUGUGGCGGAAUUGGCAGACGCACCAGACUUAGGAUCUGGCGCCUUUGGCGUGGGGGUUCGAGUCCCUUCACCCGCACCA
rnacentral:tRNA from 4 species